rnacentral:rRNA from 1 species
CCUACGGGUGGCUGCAGUGAGGAAUAUUGGUCAAUGGACGCAAGUCUGAACCAGCCAUGCCGCGUGCAGGAAGACGGCUCUAUGAGUUGUAAACUGCUUUUGUACGAGGGUAAACGCAGAUACGCGUAUCUGUCUGAAAGUAUCGUACGAAUAAGGAUCGGCUAACUCCGUGCCAGCCGCCGCGGUAAUACGGAGGAUUCAAGCGUUAUCCGGAUUUAUUGGGGUUAAAGGGUGCGUAGGCGGUCGGAUAAGUUAGAGGUGAAAACCCGAGGCUCAACUUCGGAAUUGACUCGGAUACUGUGCGGCUAGAGAGUAGAUGCGGUAGGCGGAAUGUAGGGUGUAGCGGUGAAAUGCUUAGAGAUCAUACAGAACACCGAUUGCGAAGGCAGCUUACCAAGCUACUUCUGACGUUGAGGCACGAAAGCGUGGGGAGCAAACAGGAUUAGAUACCCGUGUAGUC